UGGGGAAUCUUGCACAAUGGGGGCAACCCUGAUGCAGCGACGCCGCGUGAGCGAUGAAGCCCUUCGGGGUGUAAAGCUCUUUCGGCAGGGACGAUAAUGACGGUACCUGCAGAAGCAGCUGCGGCUAACUACGUGCCAGCAGCCGCGGUAAUACGUAGGCAGCGAGCGUUGUUCGGAGUUACUGGGCGUAAAGGGUGCGUAGGCGGCCGAUUAAGUUUGUCGUGAAAUCUCCCGGCUCAACUGGGAGGGU
rnacentral:rRNA from 1 species